rnacentral:rRNA from 1 species
AACGAACGCUGGCGGCAGGCUUAACACAUGCAAGUCGAACGGGCGUAGCAAUACGUCAGUGGCAGACGGGUGAGUAACACGUGGGAACCUUCCUCGUAGUACGGGACAACUCAGGGAAACUUGAGCUAAUACCGUAUACGUCCGAGAGGAGAAAGAUUUAUCGCUAUGAGACGGGCCCGCGUCCGAUUAGGUAGUUGGUGGGGUAACGGCCUACCAAGCCGACGAUCGGUAGCUGAUCUGAGAGGAUGAUCAGCCACACUGGGACUGAUACACGGCCCAGACUCCUACGGGAGGCAGCAGUGGGGAAUCUUGGACAAUGGGCGCAAGCCUGAUCCAGCCAUGCCGCGUGAAUGAAGAGGGCCUUAGGGUUGUAAAGCUCUUUCGCCGGUGAAGUUAAUGACGGUAACCGGAGAAGAAGCCCCGGCUAACUUCGUGCCAGCCGCCGCUGUAAGAC